rnacentral:rRNA from 1 species
AGAGUUUGAUCAUGGCUCAGAUUGAACGCUGGCGGCAGGCCUAACACAUGCAAGUCGAGCGCGAAAGGCUUUCGGGCUGAGUAGAGCGGCGGACGGGUGAGUAACGCGUAGGAAUCUACCUGGUAGUGGGGGACAACUUGGGGAAACUCAAGCUAAUACCGCAUACGCCCUAUGGGGGAAAGUGGGGGACCUUCGGGCCUCACGCUAUCGGAUGAGCCUGCGUAGGAUUAGCUAGUUGGUGAGGUAAAGGCUCACCAAGGCGACGAUCCUUAGCUGGUCUGAGAGGAUGAUCAGCCACACUGGGACUGAGACACGGCCCAGACUCCUACGGGAGGCAGCAGUGGGGAAUAUUGCGCAAUGGGGGCAACCCUGACGCAGCCAUGCCGCGUGUGUGAAGAAGGCCUUCGGGUUGUAAAGCACUUUCACUUGGGAAGAAAAGCUGCAGGUUAAUAGCCUGUAGCCGUGACAUUACCUUGAGAAGAAGCACCGGCUAACUCCGUGCCAGCAGCCGCGGUAAUACGGAGGGUGCGAGCGUUAAUCGGAAUUACUGGGCGUAAAGCGCGCGUAGGCGGUUUGUUAAGUCAGCUGUGAAAGCCCCGGGCUCAACCUGGGAACUGCAGUUGAUACUGGCCGACUAGAGUACGAGAGAGGGAGGUAGAAUUCCAUGUGUAGCGGUGAAAUGCGUAGAUAUAUGGAGGAAUACCGGUGGCGAAGGCGGCCUCCUGGCUCGAUACUGACGCUGAGGUGCGAAAGCGUGGGGAUCAAACAGGAUUAGAUACCCUAGUAGUCC